CAAGUUCAGAGCUCAACUUCCCACUCUUAACGAGACCCGGGAUCCUUUUGGAGAGGCCCUCGGGAGCUGGCGCAGGGGCUGGGAGUGGCGUGGGUCUUUAAGAAGAGCCCAACACAGAGCUGCCCAACAGAGACACAAGGGCAUCUCUCCCUCCCCAAAUCUUGAAUGUUAAUGUGUAGCGGUUCCGGAGGAAAUCACAAAGACAAGCCCUGCGUGCAACAGGAGCCAGGAGAGAGCAACACGGCCCAGCCGGGGUUCGGCGAUGAAGAAGCAGGAAGGACUUCCUGGACUCCAGGGAGGUGCACUGCAUUUGCGAUUUAAUAGAUUGUAUAUAUGAUAUCUGCUACAUAUGUUUAAUGUUUUCAUCCUGCAAAUGGCAAGUCGCCACGCCAUAUAUUUAGAAACACGUGUAAAUUCUUCUCUUUUCUAGAUUCGCCCACCUGAUCUCAUUUCCACUUCACCUCGUGUAUGAAGUGGCUUCGGUCAUGGAGUGGCCCCACUUUUGAGAAGGCCCUGCUGUCGGUAUCUUUAUGAAAAUGAUGAACAUUUUGGAGUCAAGUCUGGUUUAAAAUAAACUCUGUCUGAAUUUUUUCAUUUCAGGAUCUCCUUUUUUACACGACUGCUUUUUAUAUAUUUAUAUUUGAAAAACAGAGUGCCUGUAACAUAAAGUAAGUCAUCGCUGGUAAAUACCGGAUUUUUCUUAUAAAUGUAUCAAAAUUAUAAUAAUGAUUCAGAGAUUGUCAUAGAGACUGUGUUGAAAAAGCAAAUAAAAUCUGUUUCUUGUCCAGUG